rnacentral:rRNA from 1 species
UACGAAGGGGGCUAGCGUUGCUCGGAAUCACUGGGCGUAAAGCGCACGUAGGCGGCUUUUUAAGUCAGGGGUGAAAUCCUGGAGCUCAACUCCAGAACUGCCUUUGAUACUGAGAAGCUUGAGUCCGGGAGAGAUGAGUGGAACUGCGAGUGUAGAGGUGAAAUUCGUAGAUAUUCGCAAGAACACCAGUGGCGAAGGCGGCUCACUGGCCCGGUACUGACGCUGAGGUGCGAAAGCGUGGGGAGCAAACAGG